rfam:Pseudogymnoascus pannorum VKM F-4246 contig_1607, whole genome shotgun sequence.
ACAUACGACCAUAGACUCAAGAGAACUGGGCAUCCCGUCCGCUCUGCCAUACAUAAACUUGAGAUCGGUGGAUUAGUAGUUGGGUGGGUGACCACCAGCGAAUACCCACUGUUGUAUGUU